rnacentral:rRNA from 1 species
UACGUAGGGUGCGAGCGUUAAUCGGAAUUACUGGGCGUAAAGCGUGCGCAGGCGGUUUUGUAAGCCAGAUGUGAAAUCCCCGGGCUCAACCUGGGAAUGGCAUUUGGGACUGCAAGGCUUGAGUGCGGCAGAGGAGACUGGAAUUCCUGGUGUAGCGGUGAAAUGCGCAGAUAUCAGGAGGAACACCAAUGGCGAAGGCAGCUCGCUGGGACGUGACUGACGCUGAGACGCGAAAGCGUGGGGAGCAAACAGG